rnacentral:rRNA from 1 species
CUGGCGGUGCUUACCUGCAAGUCGAACGAUGAACCUCACUUGUGGGGGGAUUAGUGGCGAACGGGUGAGUAACACGUGAGUAACCUGCCCUUAACUCUGGGAUAAGCCUGGGAAACUGGGUCUAAUACCGGAUAUGACUCCUCAUCGCAUGGUGGGGGGUGGAAAGCUUUAUUGUGGUUUUGGAUGGACUCGCGGCCUAUCAGCUUGUUGGUGAGGUAAUGGCUCACCAAGGCGACGACGGGUAGCCGGCCUGAGAGGGUGACCGGCCACACUGGGACUGAGACACGGCCCAGACUCCUACGGGAGGCAGCAGUGGGGAAUAUUGCACAAUGGGCGCAAGCCUGAUGCAGCGACGCCGCGUGAGGGAUGACGGCCUUCGGGUUGUAAACCUCUUUCAGUAGGGAAGAAGCGAAAGUGACGGUACCUGCAGAAGAAGCGCCGGCUAACUACGUGCCAGCAGCCGCGGUAAUACGUAGGGCGCAAGCGUUAUCCGGAAUUAUUGGGCGUAAAGAGCUCGUAGGCGGUUUGUCGCGUCUGCCGUGAAAGUCCGGGGCUCAACUCCGGAUCUGCGGUGGGUACGGGCAGACUAGAGUGAUGUAGGGGAGACUGGAAUUCCUGGUGUAGCGGUGAAAUGCGCAGAUAUCAGGAGGAACACCGAUGGCGAAGGCAGGUCUCUGGGCAUUAACUGACGCUGAGGAGCGAAAGCAUGGGGAGCGAACAGGAUUAGAUACCCUGGUAGUCCAUGCCGUAAACGUUGGGCACUAGGUGUGGGGGACAUUCCACGUUUUCCGCGCCGUAGCUAAC